rnacentral:lncRNA from 1 species
AAUCUUUAAUAUAAAAAUUGUACAAGAAUUUUGAUACAAAUUACAAGAGGUAUUUGGACAAAAUAUGAAUAAAAUUCCAUUUACAUCCCCAAACCCUUAUGCAUUUUAUGCAAAAGACAUACUGUAGGCAGUUAUAGUACAGAAAAUACAACCAAAGUAACAGCAAAUUAAAAAAUUUAAUUACCUUAGCCUACCAAUAAAAACAAAAAGCAAAACAGAACAAAACAAAAAUAAAACCCUUGUUCAAGGUACAUACAGUAUUUAGGAAGCUACCAACGUCACAAUGAUUAGAUCAGGGUGAUGCACACUGUCCCAUCCCUUGGUGCAGUUACCUUUUGAAGUACAGACUUUGAUUCUGCGGCAGGCUUAUUGCAAGAGACUGGUUUUAUGCAGAUGAGAACAAUAUAAACAAAAAAAAGGAAUAAACAGCUAAACUCUGGGAGAGGGAGAGGACAUAUCUUAGUGAAAAUUCCUUUUCUUCAAGAUAUUUCAACUCCCUCUGGCCACUUUUGCUGUCAAAUAUGGAGGCUGAGUCCAAUAAUUUUGUUACUGGAGACACACCAAUGGGUCUGGAGUAAGAAAGGUGUGUGUUCUCCCAGCUGUGUGAGGGAUCUUGCUAGUUCUAAAAGGCCUAGUCCAUCACCAGCAGGAGAGAACAGAGAACUGGCUUUCCCAGAUCCCCAACCAGCCCCUUCCCCUCACCUUUGGGGAGGCAGAAAAGCAGCAAGGACUUCAUGGAAGAAGCCAGGCAAGGUGUGAGGGGAGAGGGGAAAUGGGCAUUUGCCUCACUUGGAAACCACCCACUGGUGUGUCAGUCAUCCUCAUACUGCUGAGUGAGCUACACAUGAAAAGCCCAGGUCGUCUCAAGCCCAAGUCUUCUCCCCAUUUCUCGACCGUCCUCACCCCUCUGACCUUCAUGUACCCAGGUUUAGCUCUCCUGCAUUCUUUAUACUGGCACUGGCAGGAAAAUGGUGAGAUUCUCUGCAGGGCAGCUGAACCAAAGUUUGCACAGGAAAGCAAAUGCACCAUAUACUAGAAAUCUUAGAUAGUCUUAUCAGGUUAAGAUAUAAUACUAGAACAUCUCAUUCACUUAAUUCACGUUAUGCAAACCCUGGACAGGGUAGAACACGUUUCCAAAGCAAUUAAAACCAAGAUGAGGGAGGGCGUGUUCUACCUUCUUGCUCAAACAUGAUUUAUUUUUUAAGGGGGGUUGGUGAGAUCCGAAGAGCAAAGGGUGGGAUUGAGAAAGACAAUGGAAAAGUCAGAGGAGAUUAAGAUACACAAUGAGAGGAAUGGAUUACUCUGUACAAAAACAUGCAAAAAUACUCCAAAUUGGGGACUAGAUUUAAAAAAAGAAACAGCCUUGGUGUAUACAUCUCAAGUGAACCUAUUAACUCAGCACAUUGUCUGGGAGCUCAAGAGCAUCAUACCUCAUGAAUCAUGCUUCUCGCAGUGGCCACAGCACCGAUUCACAGAUGGGGUAGAGGAUGCUUUGUCUCCUAGCAUGGAAAAGGCAGGCAGUGAGGCUCCCACUGAAACAGUGCCAGUUAAUAAUUGAUGGAUUUGCCAUCUUAGCUGUGCAUUAUCUCAACAUCACAUUUGGCAACAGGAAGCCCUAUAAAAUCUUGGUAUAGCACUUAGAUACUCUCUCUUCAAGAAAUAUACUUUCAAUACUAUCUACUUCUCUCCAUUUUUCUUAAAAUACUUCUUUCUGCUCUUCCUUCCCUUCAAAGAUUCUUUUUUAAAAAAGUGAAACAAAGCAUUAAAAAAACUAUUACAAACGUCCUUAAGCAUCCCUGGUAUUUUAGAGUUAAGGGGAGAAAGCUAGUAUCAGCGAGCAGAACUUGUGCAAUUUUGGCAACUGGUUUUUCAAUUAGGAUUCUAUUAAGAUGUCUGAUAAACGAUUGUAACAUAUACAUACUGAGGAACUUAAGAAGUAUCAUGUCAACUAAUUGCCUUUGCUCGAACCCAAGAGUCCUUGCUCAAAGUGCUUUUCUUCCCAGUCCCCACACUGGUUCAUGAAAUUAUUUAGCACAGAUUUGUCAACAUAGACCUGUUACAUUGUCUAUCCCUAAAUCUGCUGCUGUUCUCUCCUUGCUAAAGUUCAUAUGGAAGAUGAUACCGAUACCUGCACGUGUCUUACCUGGCUGACUAAUAUCUUACUGAAAUGUGACUGUUUGUAAUGGGGCCAACUAUCUUCUCUGAGAUGCGCUGCGGGAAGGUUGGAAGGAAGCAUGGCAUCCCCUAGUCCCAGAAAGAAGACGCUUGAUAGAUCUUGCACUUCAUUUAGUCACUAACUAGUCACUUUCCAACCAUCAUUUGAGUAUUUCAAUAUACAAAAAUAGCAGCCAAUCUUUGGGCUCAGGGCAUUUUGGAAUAUAACAUUUUCAUGUAUUCUUCCUUUGUACCUUUGGUCCCCAUCACUCGAUUUUCUAAAGCUCCCUGUACUUGUACUUACCAAAGUUCUUCAAAGUGGAGAAUUUACCUUUUACUCAUAGGGUGGUCCUUGUUUUAACGAUUAAAGUCAAAAGCCUGACGCCAUCUUUUUUAGAUUGUCAGUCCAGUUUGACAAAAGUUAAUCUAUCAUGUUACACUAUGGAUUUGGAGGGGUCAUUGAAAGAUGCAUUUGUACACCUACGUCCAUGGUUUGAUGCCAAGGAUAAGAAAAAAAAAUGACCACUGUGCGUAACCAGUUUACAACAUGUGCACUUUUUGAAGGGGAAGAAAAAUAUUUUAAUCUUUUCCCUACAGAUUAGGGGGCAAUAUAAUCUUACUUAUGCCACUGACUUGCAGGAAAAUUUGCUCUAAUUAUAGGGCCACACCCAUUACUCUCAAGAUGGAAUUGUUAACACUUAAGUUUUCAAAGAAGCAAAGGAUGCCGUCACAGACAGCAUCUCUCUACUGACCCUUUAUUUAAGAAGUCAUCUUGUUACUGUCCACUUAAUAGCUGGAGAGGGCAUCGAGAGGCAGCCU